GGGCCCGUAGCUCAGCCUGGUAGAGCGCCACGCUGAUAACGUGGAAGUCCUGGGUUCAAAUCCCAGCGGGCCCA
rnacentral:tRNA from 1 species